UACGUAAGUGGCGAGCGUUAUCCGGAAUUACUGGGUGUAAAGGGUGUGUAGGCGGCCUUUUAAGUCCUGUGUUAAAUCCCACGGCUUAACUGUGGGCUUGCGCGGGAAACUGGAAGGCUUGAGUAGAGGAGAGGUAACUGGAAUUCCUAGUGUGGCGGUGAAAUGUGUAGAUAUUAGGAAGAACACCAGUGGCGAAGGCGGGUUACUGGCCUCUUACUGACGCUGAGACACGAAAGCCGGGGGAGC
rnacentral:rRNA from 1 species